rnacentral:rRNA from 1 species
GAUGAACGCUAGCUACAGGCUUAACACAUGCAAGUCGAGGGGCAGCGGGGAGGAUGCUUGCAUUCUCCGCCGGCGACCGGCGCACGGGUGAGUAACGCGUAUCGAACCUGCCUCAUACCCGGGGACAGCCUUGCGAAAGUAAGAUUAAUACCCGGUGUUUUCGCGGUUCCGCAUGGUACUGCGAACAAAGGAUUUAUCGGUAAGCGAUGGGGAUGCGUUCCAUUAGGCAGUUGGCGGGGUAACGGCCCACCAAACCUACGAUGGAUAGGGGUUCUGAGAGGAAGGUCCCCCACAUUGGAACUGAGACACGGUCCAAACUCCUACGGGAGGCAGCAGUGAGGAAUAUUGGUCAAUGGGCGAGAGCCUGAACCAGCCAAGUAGCGUGAAGGAUGACGGCCCUACGGGUUGUAAACUUCUUUUGUGCGGGAAUAAAGGAACCUACGUGUAGGUUUUUGCAUGUACCGUAACGAAUAAGCAUCGGCUAACUCCGUGCCAGCCGCCGCCGUAA